rnacentral:rRNA from 1 species
GACGAACGCUGGCGGCGUGCUUAACACAUGCAAGUCGAACGGAAAGGCCCUGCUUUUGUGGGGUGCUCGAGUGGCGAACGGGUGAGUAACACGUGAGUAACCUGCUCUUGACUUUGGGAUAACUUCAGGAAACUGGGGCUAAUACCGGAUAGGAGCUCCUGUUGCAUGGUGGGGGUUGGAAAGUUUCGGCGGUUGGGGAUGGACUGGCGGCUUAUCAGCUUGUUGGUGGGGUAGUGGCUUACCAAGGCUUUGACGGGUAGCCGGCCUGAGAGGGUGACCGGCCACAUUGGGACUGCGAGACGGCCCAGACUCCUACGGGAGGCAGCAGUGGGGAAUAUUGCACAAUGGGCGGAAGCCGGAUGCAGCAACGCCGCGUGCGGGAUGACGGCCUUCGGGUUGUAAACCGCUUUCGCCUGUGACGAAGCGUGAGUGACGGUAAUGGGUAAAGAAGCACCGGCUAACUACGUG